ensembl:lincRNA
GUCAAUAGUGCUAGAACAAUUCUGUUUUAGAGGGACUUAAAACAAGAAUUAGAUUGUGUGGUUUAAAUCUGAAGAGUAGCUGAACUUGUCCAGUCAGCUAUAAUUUAUCUCAAGGUUAGAUCUGGAGAAGUGGAUGCUGUUCUUAACAGCUAUCCAGUAAUUACCUGUUUCUGACAAAGAAAGUAUGGAGCCAUCUAAAUACUUCUUAUAUGCUUACAGAAUGUAUCUUGCAUCCCUGUAUGGAGGGUAGUGAGUAGCUGAAAGCCACAGAAAGAGUAACCUCUCAUAUCAAAGAAAAUUCAGCAAGGGUUUGUAAAGGAAAGAGGAGAAGAGUUGGUCAUAUCCAGAUUGCUGAUCUCUUAAAGGAAGUGAUCCCCGAAGUCUACGGGACCCCCAGUUACCUGGCCCCUGAGAUCAUCGAGAGCUGCAUGAAUGAGGACCAUCCGGGCUACGGGAAGGAAGUGGACAUGUGAGUGCGCCGGGGGAGGAGGAUCACCUGCCUGGGCUGGGUGAGGGAGGAAGCAGGCAGGGCGGGGUCGGUGCCCCUGGCAAUGAGUAAGUGGCCUUGGGCCCUCUCACGUCCAGUUGGAGCACUGGCGUCAUCAUGUACACGCUACUGGCUGGCUCCCCACCUUUCUGCCACCGGAAGCAGAUGCUGGUGCUAAGGAUGAUCAUAAGCAGCAACUACCAGUUUGGAUCGCCCGAGUGGGACGAUUACUUGGACACCGUGAAGGACCUGGUCUCCCGAUUCCUGUUGGUGCAACCCCAGACUGCUGCACAGCGGAAGAGGCCUUGGCACACCCCUUCUUCCAGCAGUACUGGUGGAGGAAGUGCGGCACUUCAGCCCACGCGGGAAGUUCAAAGUGAUCGCCGUGACCGUGCUGGCUUCAGUGCGGAUCUACUACCAGUACCGCCAGGUGAAGCCGGUGACCUGGGAGAUCGUCAUCCGAGACCCACCGCUACUCCCUCCAGCUUCCGUGCCAGCUCAUCGAUGCCUAUGCUUUCCAAAUCUAUGGCCACUGGGUGAAGAAGGGGCAGCAGCAGAACUGGGCGGCCCUUUUCAAGAACACACCCAAGGCCGUGCUCCUCUCCCUGGCCAAGGAGGGCUACUGAGGGGCUGGCCAGUCUGGGAGGGCUGGGGGGCAGGUGGGGAGGGGAAGCCACGGAAAUAUAAGUCAAAGGGGUGAGGUGUGCAGGCCUCUGCAGAAGGAGCGCUUGGCCCUGGCCAGGAACCCCUGGAGCUGAGGCCACGAUCCCCUCUCAAAGGCUGUGCACAAGCGAAGCGGGUGUUCCCACCACACAGCAAUACCUGCAGGCUGGGACAGGCCCUGGGUGGGCAGAGAUCACAUGUGGCCCGAGAACCAGGAACCCCCUGCUCCUGCACUUCCUAGAUGAGCCACCAUCUCCAUUUCUCUCUAGGGGAGGCCCAGAGUUACUGACACUCAGGCCCUCUUCCCUUAGGGUCCCAGGGUGAGGAUGAAAGACACAGAAAUGUCUGAGAUACACAAUCGCAGGAGAUUUUAUUGACCUGAUGACAUCCAGUGACAGUGUGGGAGCAGGCUACUCUCCAGGGACAUGUUUCUGGAGGCAUAUGGAGAAGGGGGCCGAGGUGAGGUUGCUCACACCUGUAAUCUCAGCACUUUGGGAGGCUGAAGUGGGAGGAUCACUGGAGACCAGGAGUUUGAGACCAGCCUGGGCAACAUAGUGAGAUCCCAUCACUACAAAAAUUCAAAAAAUUAGCCAGGCAUGGUGGUGCACACUUGUAGUCCGAGCUACUUGGGAGGCUGAGGUGGGAGAAUUGCUUGAGCCCAGGAGCUCAAGGCUGCAGUGAGCCAUGAUCACCACUGCACUCUAGCCUGGGCAACAGAGCAAGACCCUGUCUCGAAAAAAAAAAAAGAAAAAAAAAUGGAAGGGGAAGCUUCUGAUAUUUGUCUUUCUGGAAUACUAUUUGCUUUGUGAUUCCCACAAUGCACUGCUUCACCCUAGUACAUCAGUAGGUUCUCCUAGACCCUUUUAGGACUGAACUGUGCUUUAAAUAGUUACAUGCCUGCCUGUUACACAGUGGAAACUAGUUUUCUUCAGAGGGACCCAAAACCACAGAUGAGGCCAUGAAGAAAGCAUUCUCCUUCCACAGCAACUGGCUGGGAAAACAAACACACAAGUGAUCCUCCUGCCUCAACCUCCCUACUAGCUGGGACUACAAGCGUGUGCUACCAUGAAGGGGUAAUUUUAAAAAAAAAUUUUAGUAGAGAUGUGGUCUAUGUUGCCCAGGAUGGUCUUGAACUCCUGGGCUCAAGCGAUCCUCCCACCUCAGCCUCCCAAAUUGUUGGGAUUACAGGCAUGAGCCACUGCGUCCAGCCCUUCAUCACAUAUCUAAAAACAAUCAUCAGAGGUAGAUGUAACAGGUGUUAUUAUUAUUUACUCCAUUUAACAGAUGAAAAACACUGAAGCAAACAGAAGUAAAAAAUUAGGCUUUUAAAAUGGAUUUUCGGCUGGGAAUGGUGGCUCACACCUGUAAUCCCAAUACUUCGGGAGGCCGAGGUGGAUGGAUCACCUGAGGUCAGGAGUUCAAGACCAGCCUGGCCAACAUGGCAAAACCCUGUCUCUACUAAAAAUACCAAAAAAUUAGCAGGGCAUGGUGGCACACACCUGUAAUCCCAGCUACUCGGGAGGCUGAGGCGGGAGAAUCUCUUGAACCUGGGAGGCAGAGGUUGCAGUGAGCUGAGAUCGUGCCAUUGCACUCCAGCCUGGGUGACAAGAGUGAAAUUCCAUCUCAAAAAAAAACAUAAAUAUAUAUAACCCUGAUAAAUAUGUACACCUAUUAUGUAGCCGCAAAAAUAAAAUAUCUAAAAAGAGAAUGUCAAACUGCUUUCACUAAUGCUGUGAUUACAUUUCUAACCUUAUAAACAUAUCCAUAUUUUCAGGGCUACUUUUGCUAAUCAUCAUAACAAAUGAAGUGUUAGUGGGUUUUGAGAGGAUGAAGGAUCACUAUACCUGACAAUUCUCUUUCACUUACAAUGCGUGUGAUGAAAU